UGGGAGGUAAAUUUCUCUUAAGGCUAAAUAUUGGCGAGAGACCGAUAGCGAACAAGUACCGUGAGGGAAAGAUGAAAAGUACUUUGAAAAGAGAGUUAAAUAGCACGUGAAAUUGUUGAAAGGGAAACGAUUGAAGCCAGUCGUACCUGCGGAUAAUCAGCUUUUUGAGUGUGAUUAUGUGGUUCAUGAGGAGUUUAACCGCCUUCAUGCAUUGCAUAUUUGUGCUCUUGGGUGUACUUGUCUGUGUGGUAGGUUAACAUCAAUUUCGGUCGUCAUAAAAUGAUUGGAGGAAUGUAGCUUUGGUCUCGUAUCGAAGUGUUAUAGACUCUGGUAGGUGUGACGAUUGGGAUCGAGGAUUGCAACGGAUACCCUUCGGGGCUACUCGUCUGAUCUCUGAAGGUUGCUCCGGUACCGAAAGCGUGCUUACGGUCAUCGAAAGUGAUUUUCAAAAGGUUAGAACGGGUUAAAUUCGUUAAGGAUGUUGACGUAAUGGCUUUAAACGACCCGUCUUGAAACACGGACCAAGGAGUCUAACAUAUAUGCGGGUGUUUGGGUGAUUAAACCCUUACGCGUAAUGAAAGUAAUUUUGGUGGGAUCACUUGUGUGCACCAUCGACC
rnacentral:rRNA from 1 species